rnacentral:rRNA from 1 species
GAUGAACGCUGGCGGCGUGCCUAAUACAUGCAAGUCGAGCGAACGGACGAGAAGCUUGCUUCUCUGAUGUUAGCGGCGGACGGGUGAGUAACACGUGGAUAACCAACCUAUAAGACUGGGAUAACUUCGGGAAACCGGAGCUAAUACCGUAUAAUAUUUUAAACCGCAUGGUUCCAAAGUGAAAGACGGUCUUGCUGACACUUAUAGAUGGAUCCGCGAUGCAUUAGCUAGUUGGUAAGGUAACGGCUUACCAAGGCAACGAUGCAUAGCCGACCGGAGAGGGUGAUCGGCCACACUGGAACUGAGACACGGUCCAGCCUCCUACGGGAGGCAGCAGUAGGGAAUCUUCCGCAAUGGGCGAAAGCCUGACGGAGCAACGCCGCGUGAGUGAUGAAGGUCUUCGGAUCGUAAAACUCUGUUAUUAGGGAAGAACAUAUGUGUAAGUAACUGUGCACAUCUUGACGGUACCUAAUCAGAAAGCCACGGCUAACUACGUG